CAAGGAAAACUACAAAAUGCUGCUGAAAGAAAUCAUAGAUGACACAAACAAAUGGAAACAUGUCCCAUGCUCACAGAUGGGAAAAAUCAGUAUUGUCAAAAUGACCAUACUGCCAAAAGCAAUCUACAGGUUUAAUGCAAUUUCCAUCAAUUACCACCGUCAUUCUUCAUAGAACUAGAACAAAAAACCCUAAAAUUCAUAUGGAACCAAAAAAGAGCCCCCAUA